rnacentral:tRNA from 1 species
UGCGGACAUGGCGGAAUUGGCAGACGCGUAUGGCUUAGGACCAUAUACUGAAAGGUGUGGGGGUUCAAAUCCCUCUGUCCGCAG